rnacentral:lncRNA from 1 species
CCUUCAGCUUGGAGGAAGCUGUGACCUAAUUAUUUUAUAAAGGGAAAGGUAGGUGGGAAUAUAUUCAGAAAUUGAUCAGAUGCCUCUUACCUAAUGGGCUGUUUUCAGAAGAAUCGCCUGGGUUUUUGAGGGUAGGCACCGUGGGCCAGUAGCGUUUCCUGGUCUUCCUUCCAAGCUUCCUUUAAGGGUAGAAAACAGGUACCAAAUGUUAUUAACAUCUUCCCCCACUUUCUCUUUCUCCCUAUUUGACUAAUGGAGUUUUUUUGGUUGUUUUUGUUUUUUUAACCAAUAUCCUUUGCCUGCCUGCCUUUCCUUUCUUCCCCCUUCCCCCAUUUUUUCUUUCAUCCUUCUUUUUUGCCUCUUUUAGAAUGUCCUUUAUUCCCAUUUCCUUCUUCCCUGAUGUUUUCAUGGAAGCAGCUGUAACAUCCAGGUGAUGUGCUUGCAAAGGGGUCCAAGUCUUGGCUCUGCCCCUUGAGAGCUGGCUGAGCCCAGUUCACCAUUCUGCCUCUGGGAGGCCAUCUUUCCUGUUCAAAAUGUGAUGAUAAAAUGCUCUGAGUUCCAGGGUUUAAAGAGAAAGUGCAUCUCAAGCCCUUAGCACCACGCCUCUUCAUAGGAAAGUGCUUAGUAAAUGCCAGCUGCUGCUAUUGCAGUGUUAGCAUUGGGUGAUUACUGUGAAGCCCCACCCCUCCCACUUUCCCUUUUCUGGCCUUAAUCCAAAAGGAUGAAGAGAGCAACCAUGCUGGAGGUGAGGCUGUGCUGACUGCCUUGGGUACUUUCAGUCUGGAACCAAGCAGGGUAUAUACCAGCUACUUCCCCACUGCUCCUAAUCUCACUCCUCCAGUCUGCCCUGGCCACCGCCUUCUCUCCCUUUUAGCUCUGGCCCUUUGAAAUCUGGGUUUAUGGUGGGGCUGCCUAGGGUGUGGUCUUUUUAGGGCCGAACCCAUGGCAUGUGGAGGUUCCUAGGCUAGGGGUUGAAUCGAAGCUGUAGCCCCUGGCCUAUGCCGACAGGGACAGCAAUGCCGUGUCCGAGCUGCAUCUGUGACCUACACCACAACUCACAGCAAUGCUGGAUCCUUAACCCGUUGAUCAAGGCCAAGGAUCGAACCUACCUCCUCAUGGAUGCUAGUUAGAUUCGUUUCUGCUGAGCCACCACAGGAACUCUAAUCUCUUCAUCAAGGUUGCUGGGCUACAGUGAAGGUGGCAGGCAACAGCAGAUUCUGUGGCUCCUGAGAACAGAGGUAUGUGGGAGGUUGGGGGCAGACAUCAUUCUUUGUCCUUUUUAGGGAUAUGCUGGUCUUUUCCCAGACAGGGAAUCUGUGUGUGAUGUCACUACCUUCUUACCCCAGUUGCCACUUGAGCAUAGUCACCCUGCUGUGUCCUUGCUUGGGCCAGAUUUCUAAUACUGCAGCCUUUUAGGGGAGUUUCAUUGUUAUGUCAUCUUUUGUUGGGAGCAGGGAACAUCCAGCACCUUUCCCAAAGGUAGAAUUUGUGGGGGUUUUACUUGAGUGAGUGACUAAUGUGGAUCUUUAUGUUUUAAUGAUGGGAAGAUAUUAGUCAGCCUGGGUGCUGUUUCCAUGUGACAGAGCAAAAAUUUAAACCAUUACACAAUGGCUUUUGUUUCACUAGCUAUUAAAGUUGACCAUCAGGCGUUAUCAGUAAGAUCAGCAGGUGUUAACCCACUGUGCUUCUAGAGACCAGUUUCUGGUCCUGGGAAAGGCCCAGAGCAAGCUGAAUUUGGCAGGAUUUCAGAUCCUGGGAAGAUGGCAGGACCCAGAUAGUUGGAUUGUAGUCCAGGCCUGCAUCUUUCAUCACUGGGGCCUUCUAGAGGGCUUACCUCCCUCUCUCAGCAUGUUUUGCCCAUCUGUGAAAUGGGAGAGCUGGCCUAGAUCUGUGUUUCCCCAAAUUCAGUCAUUUGUAAAGGAAUCACCUUUAUUAUUUUUGCGGUAUCCCAUGGAUCUUUCAUUUUUACUCAUUACCCUGCAGUUGACUCACUUGUAAAACAGAUGUUUUUAAAAAGGACACUUUGUGUCAGUCACUAUCAUAAUGGAAAAGCAGUGUCACUAGGUAAAUCGAAGGUAACCAUAAAUAAAGCCAAAACAGUGUUAUUAAAUCCCAGCUGGUGCAGUUGCCUCUUCUCAGCAGGAGGCCUGCUCUUUUGGUUAAAAGGAAAAUUAGCUAGAGAUGGAGAGGUGUUCAAAGCAAGCUACAGGCACAAUGAGCCUUUCUUCUUGACCUACUCAGAAGGGUUGAGAAAGAAUUGGAAGAAGAAUAAAGUUUUCUCUGUGAUGCAAAGGCACUGACUGACAGAGCGUCACUGCUAGCUCAGAGUAGUAUGUAUAGAUGCUCUGUUCCCCACAUGUUUUCGGAGCCUUUACAGCAUGCUAGCCCCUAGGAGCACAGGGGGAUUGGGACUCCAGGCAUCCAGUGGGAGAGGCAGUCAUAAGAAUAGGUUGACUGUAAAUGAAGGACAGAACAGGCUUGCAGUAGUUCAGUUAAAAAACCACAGAUUUACAUCUGUCAUGGGCAUAGGGGUCUUUUACAAAUGAGUUGAGAAAAUGAUUUUUUUCUUGAGUUUUUUUGUUUUGAAAUGAACAAUAAACCUAUUUCAGCCCAGAAUGAUUCUAGAGAAACUAAAUAUAUUAAAAUCAUAUCAUUGUUCUUACAGUGUUACAGUAAUAAUCCAUCUUAACCCUUUAUAUAAUGGUAACCAACUUUUCCUCCCUAGAGCCUGAUUUGAGUUAGACCUCUCUUGGAGUCCAAGUCAACUGUAAAUAGAUGAGAUAAAACAAAAUGGCCUGAUGUACUCUUAGUAACACCCCCUCCCCCACAUUAGUAUCUAGCUUCUGCAAAGCAAGAUAGACACCAAGAUUGGAUCUCUAAAUUACCUUAGGCUAGUCUCCAGGAAUGAAUGCUAUGCUCUGAAAUAGUAGGGUAUGAGGCUGAGUCUGAUAUUUGUCCUUCAGCUACCCCAGGGCACUGCCUGCUUCCUUAGGGUUUCUGGGAGGUGGGUAAGAGUGAGGAUUUGGGGAGUUCCCUGGUGACCUAGUGGGUUGAGGAUCCAGCAUUGUUACUACUGUGGCUCCCUGGCCCUGGAACUUCCGCAUGCCUCUGGUGUGUCCAAAAACAAACCAACCCCCCCCCCCCCAUUUCAAGAAGAAGGAAAUGAUAAAAAAUGUGGGAACCUGCAGAGAUAUAUAGAACUGUAAAUAAGAGUUAAUUUUAUGGAAGUUCCCAUUGUGGCACAGCAGAAAUGAACCCAAUUAGUAUCCAUAGGAUGCAGGUUCGAUCCCUGGCCUUGUUCAGUGGGUUAAGGAUCCAGCGUUGCCAAGAACUGUGGUGUGGGUCCAAGACACGGCUCAGAUCUGGUGUUGCUAAGGCUGUGAUGUAGGCUGGCAGUUGCAACUCUGAUUGGACCCCUAGCGUGGGAACUUCCGUAUGCCAUGGGUGUGGCCCUUAAAAAAAAAAAAGGUUAAUUUUUAAAAAAGCACAAGAAUUUGGCAGUCAGGCAGCUCUGAAGUUGAAUCUGAGAUUUACUAUGUGAUGUACAAUUGAGUUACAUGGUUUCUCUGAGCCCCAGUGCUCAGUGUUCUCACCUGUAAACUGUGGAUAAUCAUAGUUUCUACCUGCAAGAAUGGGUGUGAUGACAUACUGAGCUAAAUUUUGUAACUUACUUGCCACGUGGGAAGUACUAGGAAAGUGCUAACAGGUAAUCCCAUACUUUUUUGCUUGAAAGGGUCAGGCUGGCAGUGAGUGAGGUGAAGGGGGAUGUCAGAUUUGGGGUUUAGUUAGAUCAUGCUGGUUGGCAUUAGGCCGUUCAGAAGGAGUAUGGGGUUUGGGACAAAUGGUGCCAUGACCUCUAAAACAUUGUGUGCGGGUCGAAUAUAGAGGAAAUGGACAGUAAGAAGAGCCCUCAAGGGGAAGGUGGAGCAUUUAGAAUCCUUUAAGCUGUGAGGAAUGGGACCCCAAACUGGCCCACUUACAAGGAAAUUGACUCAGGCUGGCAAGUCUGGACAGAGUGGGUUGUGGAUUUCUGGGAUGCAGUGACUCAGUGAUGUCAUCUCCGACCCAGCUUCUUUGGGUUUCUGCUCUCUUGGUUUCAUUGGUUCUAAGGCAUAUUCACCUCGUAGCAGAGAUUUCUUCCUGUGAGACAGUUCCUAGGGGUUCCCCAUGAGCCAAGAGCAACUUUCCCAGAAGCUGUCAACAGAUCCCUCCUUUUGUCUCAUGGGCCCAAAUUAGAUCACGUGGCUAUGUUUGAACCAGUGUCUGGCAAGUGGGGGUGGAUUGCCCUCAGACCUUGAGGCCUGUUCCAGAGUUGAGGGUAGAGUCACUUCCUUGAAGGUGCACAGAUCCUGUUGGGAGGGGUAGGUCCAGACUCCUGUCAGAACUCUUCCAGAAGGGGCAAAGGGGCUGGAUGCUGGGUGGGCCGGUUGUAGGGAGUGGCAUCAGAAAAGGGGAUAGACUUGCUUAGGGGUCAGGAGGAGUGAGAUGGAGAAGGUGUGUGUCUUAUUCCACAGGCUUUUUCUUUCAUCUCUCUGUCUACCUCCCCAGCUCUGUUGUUUCAUAUCCAGGGGCCAUGCCCAUACCCUGCUCUCCCUGCCCCUCCCCACUAGGUCCCUUUCGUAUGCCUGUCUCCUUCUGCAAGACCUCCUCCUCCAGGCAGAUUUAUGGCAGGAAUCCUGCUGAUCAUAUAUCAUUUGUAAAAUAUAAAUAAUUUGUAAAGCAUUUGUUGGCUUUUCCUAGUUAGGAGUGCUAUAUGCUUUUGCUUAGAAAUGGGAAAAUUGCAUAAAAAUAAUAAAAAAGGAAAAAUUAGGAGUUCCCAUCGUGGCUCAGUGGUUAACGAGUCCAACUAGGAACAUGAGGUUGCAGGUUCGAUCCCUGGCCUCGCUCAGUAGGUUAAGGAUCCAGUGUUGCCAUGAGCUGUGGGGUAGGUCACAGAUGCAGCUUGGAUCCUGUGUUGCUGUGGCUGUGGUGUAGGCUGGCAACUGUGGCUCCGAUAGACCCCUGGCCUGGGAACCUCCAUGUGCCGCCAGAGUGGCCCU